CCUACGGGAGGCAGCAGUGGGGGAUAUUGCGCAAUGGGGGAAACCCUGAUGCAGCGACGCCGCGUGAGGGAAGACGGUUUUCGGAUUGUAAACCUCUGUCAUCUGUGAAGAUAAUGACGGUAGCAGAAGAGGAAGCUCCGGCUAACUACGUGCCAGCAGCCGCGGUAAUACGUAGGGAGCGAGCGUUAUCCGGAUUUACUGGGUGUAAAGGGGGCGGAGGCGGCGAGGCAAGUCAGUAGGGAAAUCCAUGGGCUUAACCCAGGAACUGCUAUUGAAACUGUGUAGCUUGAGUGCAGUAGAGGUAGGCGGAAUUCCUGGUGUAGCGGUGAAAUGCGUAGAGAUCGGGAGGAACACCAGUGGCGAAGGCGGCCUACUGGGCUUUAACUGACGCUGAGGCACGAAAGCGUGGGUAGCAAACAGGAUUAGAUACCCUAGUAGUC
rnacentral:rRNA from 1 species